rnacentral:rRNA from 1 species
AAUGAACGUUGGCGGCGUGGAUUAGGCAUGCAAGUCGAGCGAGAAUUUGCGAUUGGAAGCUUCAGCCGAAGAAAGUGAAGGAAAGCGGCAAACGGCGUAGUAAGGCGUAGGUACGUACCCUCGGGUCGGGAAUAGCCAUGGGAAACUGUGGGUAAUGCCCGAUAAUCUCUGCGGAGCAAAGGUGUGAUUCCGCCGGAGGAGCGGCUUACGUGAUAUUAGCUAGUUGGUGGGGUAAUGGCCUACCAAGGCAACGAUGUCUAGGGGGUGUGAGAGCAUGGCCCCCACGACCGGAACUGAGACACUGUCCGGACACCUACGGGUGGCUGCAGUCGAGAAUCUUCCGCAAUGGGCGAAAGCCUGACGGAGCGACGCCGCGUGGUGGAUGAAGGCCCUUGGGUUGUAAACACCUGUCAGAGGGGAUGAAAUCAUGGUUGGCAAUCCUUCCAUGUUGACAGAGCCUCAGAGGAAGCACGGACUAAGUACGUGCCAGCAGCCGACGG